UGCCUUGUGGUGUAGUGGUCAAGAUACUUGCCUGGUAAACAGGCGGCCUGGGUUCAAUCCCAGCCGAGGUAU
rnacentral:tRNA from 1 species